AAUGGUCUGAUUCCGGUGACGAGCCCUAGUCGUCAUAUACGUCUUUGUCACAAUAGACUGUAUAUUCUCUGCAACUCCGUUUUCUCCCAUCGUAUGGGGUUUUCACUUCUCCUAUGAAUCCUCCUAUAUUGUUUCAGAGAGGGGAGCGAAAUGCAUAGGGAUCGAGGGGCGGAGGAGUUUCGUCCAGGUCGGAGAUCGUGGGUGGGCGGGUGGGUAGGAAGCCAAUAAACGAUGCCCUUAGAUAAGCACUUGGAGAAGUCCUCCCUCUCAACCUCAAGGACCUUCAAGGACAAGGGGGCGGUGCUCUCCACCUCCGCUGCUGUUGCCAAAUCCAAUCAGGAAACUAUUGCUUCCAAGAACAAGUGCUCCGACGCCGAUAUGCUGGAAUUUUGACAUUAUAUUUGCUGAAGAAUCUGGAACAGACAGUGAAGAGUCUGAUGUUAGUGGUUUUGAUGGACAUGAUACAUCAUGGAUUUCAUGGUUCUGCAACUUGCGAGGAAAUGAAUUUUUGUGAAGUUGAUGAUGAAUAUAUUCAGGAUGGUUUCAACCUUUUUGGACUAAGCAGUCAAGUUCCAUACUACGAAUAUGCACUUGACCUCAUUCUGGAUGUUGAGUCCUCUCAUGCCAUCUCAGAGCUAUGUUCCGAGGGUAUUUGGGUUCAAGAUUCACUAGAGUGAAAUGCAGAAUGGCAAUGUGUAGAAAUAUCUUGUUUGUGUCAAGAGUGUUCUCUUCUACCUGGCUUCCUCAAUGUACAAGUUCUUACAAGUCAGUGUUAGAGUUGGUUACCUUCCAUCUGUUCCAUUCAUAGGGAGACUACACGGAAAAGACUAUCGUCUUUUCAUGUUCUCUCUCUGUUUAUCACACAUUGGCCGAACAACUCCCCUACGCCGUUCGAUUCUCCUUUUUCAUCAGCAUUGGACGAUGGUCGUCGGUGGGGACCGCCGUGGAGCCAAGCGACAGGGACCACCCGCUCGGGGUGUAGGUCGACGUAUUUUUUCUCUCUUUUUGUCGUUUCUGAAUUUUUUAAGAUCGUUAUUAUCCUUUGUGUUGCGGUGACCGCUUGUCGAGUUGGGGGGGGGGGGGGGGGAUUGGUUUCUGGUUUGGACUUGCGUGUGGAUUUAGUAGAUUUAGGGUUUUUUUAGUAGUUCAGUACAAUUUUGUUUAUCUUUGGGUGGCCGUCGUCUCUGGGAAAUGAGUGUGGGUGCAGGGGGCUGGUGGUGGUGACCGGUCGUUGC